rnacentral:rRNA from 1 species
AUUGAACGCUGGCGGCAGGCCUAACACAUGCAAGUCGAACGAGUGGCGGACGGGUGAGUAAUGUCUGGGAAACUGCCCGAUGGAGGGGGAUAACUACUGGAAACCGUAGCUAAUACCGCAUACCAUCGGAUGUGCCCAGGUGGGAAUAGCUAGCAGGUGGGGUAACGGCUCACCCAGGCGACAAUCCCUAACUGGUCUGAGAGGGUGACCAGCCACACUGGAACUAAGACACGGUCCAGACUCCUACGGGAGGCAGCAGUGGGGAAUAUUGCACAAUGGGGGCAAGCCUGAUGCAGCCAUGCCGCGUGUAUGAAGAAGGCCUUCGGGUUGUAAAGUACUUUCAGCGAGGAGGCGUUACUCGCAGAAGAAGCACCGGCUAACUCCGUGCCAGCAGCCGCGGUAAUAC